CUACGGGAGGCAGCAGUGGGGAAUUUUGCGCAAUGGGGGAAACCCUGACGCAGCAAUACCGCGUGAGUGAAGAGGGCCUUUGGGUCGUAAAGCUCUUUUCUUGGGGAAGAUAGUGACGGUACCCAGGGAAUAAGCACCGGCUAACUCCGUGCCAGCAGCCGCGGUAAUACGGAGGGUGCAAGCGUUGUUCGGAUUUACUGGGCGUAAAGGGCACGUAGGCGGCACAGCAAGUUAAGGGUGAAAUCCCGGGGCUCAACUCCGGAACUGCUCUUAAAACUGCUGAGCUAGAGAUAGUCAGAGGCGGGUGGAAUUCCAGGUGUAGAGGUGAAAUUCGUAGAUAUCUGGAGGAACACCGGUGGCGAAGGCGGCCCGCUGGGGCUAUUCUGACGCUAAGGUGCGAAAGCGUGGGGAGCAAACGGGAUUAGAUACCCCAGUAGUC
rnacentral:rRNA from 1 species